UACGAAGGGGGCUAGCGUUGCUCGGAAUCACUGGGCGGAAAGCGCACGUAGGCGGAUUGCUAAGUCAGGGGUGAAAUCCUGGAGCUCAACUCCAGAACUGCCCUUGAUACUGACGAUCUCGAGUCCGGGAGAGGUGAGUGGAACUCCGAGUGUAGAGGCGAAAUUCGUAGAUAUUCGGAAGAACACCAGUGGCAAAGUCGGCUCACUGGCCCGGUACUGACGCUGAGGUGCGAAAGCGUGGGGAGCAAACAGG
rnacentral:rRNA from 1 species